UAGUAACGGCGAGUGAAGCGGCAACAGCUCAAAUUUGAAAUCUGGCCUUCGGGUCCGAGUUGUAAUUUGUAGAGGAUGCUUUUGGUGCAGUGCCUUCCGAGUUCCUUGGAACAGGACGCCUUAGAGGGUGAGAGCCCCGUACGGUUGGACACUAAGCCUCUGUAAAGCUCCUUCGACGAGUCGAGUAGUUUGGGAAUGCUGCUCUAAAUGGGAGGUAAAUUUCUUCUAAAGCUAAAUACCGGCCAGAGACCGAUAGCGCACAAGUAGAGUGAUCGAAAGAUGAAAAGUACUUUGAAAAGAGGGUUAAAUAGCACGUGAAAUUGUUGAAAGGGAAGCGUUUAUGACCAGACCUUUGCCGGGCGGAUCAUCCGGUGUUCUUCACCGGUGCACUUCGCUCGGCUUAGGCCAGCAUCGAUUUCUGGAGGGGGACAAAGACCAUGGGAACGUAGCUCUCUUCGGGGAGUGUUAUAGCCCUAGGUGUAAUACCCUUCCGGGGAUCGAGGUUCGCGCUUCUGCAAGGAUGCUGGCGUAAUGGUCAUCAACGACCCGUCUUGAAACACGGACCAAGGAGUCGAACAUUUAUGCGAGUGUUUGGGUGUUAAACCCUCACGCGUAAUGAAAGUGAACGGAGGUGAGAGCCCUUUUUGGGUGCAUCAUCGACCGAUCCUGAUGUAUUCGGAAGGAUUUGAGUAAGAGCAUAACUGUUCGGACCCGAAAGAUGGUGAACUAUGCGUGGAUAGGGUGAAGCCAGAGGAAACUCUGGUGGAGGCUCGCAGCGGUUCUGACGUGCAAAUCGAUCGUCAAAUCUGCGCAUG
rnacentral:rRNA from 1 species